rnacentral:rRNA from 1 species
CAAUAGCAUAUAUUAACGUUGUUGCAGUUGAAAAGCUCGUAGUUGAACUUUUGGUAGGAGCGACCUGGCCUUGGGCGCAUGCCCUUGUUUGCCGUGUGUCGUGUCUGGCCAUCCUUUUCUUCGUUUUUCGGAGGAAUCUUUUACUGUGAGUAAACUGGAGUGCUCAAAACAAGACGUUUGUUUGGUACAUUAAAGCAUGGAAUAAUAAGAUAGGACCUGGUUACUAUUUUGUUGGUUUGCAUAGCUAGGUAAUGAUUAACAGGGACAGUUGGGGGUAUUCGUAUUUAAUUGUCAGAGGUGAAAUUCUUGGAUUUAUGAAAGACGAACGACUGCGAAAGCAUUUACCAAGGAUGUUUUCAUUA